GCUGCAGAUAAGAGAUCCUGGGACCUCUGACACAGAAACUGGCAAAAAGGUAAGCCUGCUUAUCAUGGCAGCCUCCCAGAUCUCUUUUUGAAAAGUCUAGCAGGAAUGGGAAAGUCUUUGCUUUCCUUUGACUCUCUGCCUGUCGCCUUGUUUGUCAUAAGGAAGAAGAACUAUAGGGCAGGACAGCAGGUACAGUUCCUUGACAAGCCUGCUGUUUGAGCCAGCCUCACGGACUGUUUUGGCGAGCCAGCCAGGAGAAUCAUGGGCUAGAAAACUGCUUUCUCCCUGAGGCUGCUGCAGAUAAGAGAUCCUGGGACCUCUGACACAGAAACUGGCAAAAAGGUAAGCUAAACGAGAUUCAAUCAAAACGAGAAUUAAGUCCAUGGGACUAAAUGAACUAAUGAGGAUAAUUAUCAUUUUUAUGAAUUUUUAUCUAAAAUAUUAGUUUUUUUAAUCUUUCGUUUUUCCAGAUUUAAGGAAAUCUUUUUUUCUCUUAAGCUAUCUAUGACACAGCAAUUUGGUGAAUUAUACCUUGGUAAGCAGAAUUGAAACAGUUACUUUUACUCCCUGUCUGAUCCCUCCAGAAUUCGGAAACUCUCCAUGAGUAUUCUCAUUUUCAUGACAAUAUAUUUAUUUGCAUAUAGUCUAUAAGAAUCUGUUCUCGCUGUAACAGGACACAAUUGGAAACAUCGGUUAUAUUACCAAGGCUUUGACUGGAAUGUCAUGUUUGAGAGAGACAUACAGAAACUCAGAUAUGACUAAACAACUUUCAGGAAUUAACGAUGACUCUGUGAAGCCAAUAAAGCCCCUUGGAAAAAUAGCAGGUUACCUUACCUAGGGGCUUCCUGACAGCCUAACCAGGUGAGUAAAGAAAGUCACUUCCUGGCAGGUGCAAAGACCUUAAAAUAUGUUGGGAGCCUCAAGACAAGAGGAAUUCACCCAAAUCUAUAGGUAUUGCAGGUUGAAUAUUUGGCUUGGCUUCUUAGCCUUCAGAAGCUAUUAAAAGUUCAAUCUGGAGAUUCCUUAUAAAACGUUCCAGCAAAACAAAUUUAAAAGAGCCUAUAUGAUCAAUGGCUAUUCUUGCUGCACUUAUGUAAAUAACUAAGCCAAGUUUAUUGAAACUAGAAUUAUUUUGCAAACAAAUUAGUCUUAAUUGACUAUCUUUGAUAAAAUGAGAGUGAUUUUAGGGAGAAAAAAAUAUGUUUCAGUAGAAACUAUAAUACAUACUUAUGAAUUUUAGAUUCUAAUGCUGUUAAUUUUCCUUGAAGUUUUGUCAUUUACUAAAAACUGGACUAGAUUCUAAAUUCUUCUAAUUUCCUCAAAUAUUUGGCUAUAACUCUCUAAACUAAUGUUUCCAAUUUUUCUCCCACUUUUGACUUGGAAUCAUUAAGAACUAAAGCUGCUCUCUUUCCCUGAAGCCCUACAAACUGAAGCUGAACAACUUGAUAUAAACUUAAGAGAGAUUGCCACAAUAACCCAUGUUUAAACAACUUUCAUGCCUGUUGCUGAGUAAGCCACUCAGGUUUACCUGAGCACCCAAUGACAUCAUCAGAGACAUUUCUACCUGCAAAGGAUGCUUCAACCCUGACAUCUAGAAAUCAUAUUGACUGGCUUCCCUCUAGGCUCAAAGACUGGUUUAUAAUUUGCUCCAAUCAUUAACCAUUAUUUUUCUUUGUUUCCAUAGAAAUUCCUCUUAUUAAAUACCUGAAUUCUUGCACCUCAGGCCUAACUUUGGGAGCCAACCUGUAGCAUUGCCUUCUGAAGUAAGACAUAACUGUUUUAUUAAACUGACCUCUUUUCAACACUAAAAGAUUAAUUCAAUGAAAUAACGGAACAAUCUACCAACUCAACUUUUAAUAUAUGAAACUUCCAGGGAAAGUUUCACAGGAGGGAACAGUUGGGGCCCAGGCUGGGCCACCCCAAAAUGUCCCACAAUAGCAUAUUGAUUAUUUUGAAUGAAAGUUACUCGAGAAGCAAAAGUGUCCUGUCUCAGUUCCAUUGAAAGCAGGAAAUAAAUCUCCCAUGUGAAAGGAGCUCUCCCUGCAUCCUUCUCCCCAGAGCUGGGGAUUCAGGGCUGAGGAGCCUGCACAGGCAAACCUUGCUAAUUUACUACCUCAAGCCAAAACUCUGCUUAAUGUCCUCACUAUUUACAUACCGCCAACCUAGGUUUCUUUGUCUUGUCAAUUCUUCACAAAUUUACAAUUUCUUUGUAUAAAAGAUAUAUAUACUGCCCCCUUUGUUCACUCUCUUAGCAUCACUUUUUAUGAUCUCCAAAGUGCAUGUAUUAAACUGGGUUUUCUUUCUGUUAAUCUGGUCUUGUGUCAAUUUUAUUAGUAGUUCAGCCAUAAGAACGCACAAGGUGAGUGGUCAAGCACGUCAGUGGUCAUGAGGUAAGUUAAAGCAGGUCAGUAAUUAAUCCUUAGACUCUGGUAAGAAAUGCUUAUCCUUAAAGGAAUGCUGAUAUGGGGGAGGAAACAUACCUAUCUUUAAGGGUAUCAUUCUUGGCUCUGGGAUAUUGUAAAUGUUUCAAACAGAGGUACAAUGCAUGCUCAAUGGGCCGUGUCAGGUCUUUCUGGAAAAACAAGGUCAGGCUGAAUUAGUUUUAAACCAAAUGGCUUCCUCAUAUAUGCCAAUAUAUCCCAUUGCUUGUCAUUUACUCAUCACUCACUUCCAGUUGCCUGUUCCUGAGUUGUAUCCUUUAUAAUAAAUUGGUAAACCUAAGUGUUUUCCCAAGUUCUGUGCGUUGUUCAGCAAAUUAUCAAUCCUGAAGAGGGGGUCCUGGGAACCCCUUGGUUAUAGCUAUUCAGUCAGAAGUAUGGGUGGCCCUCUGGGACUCGCGACUGGCGCCUGAAGUGGAGGCAGUCUUGGGGGACUGAGCCCUUAACCUGUAGAGUCUGUGCUAACUCUUGGAAGCUGGUGUGAGAAUUGGAUUGAAUUGUUGGUCACCCAGUUGGUGUCAGAGAAUUGGUUGCUGGUGUUGGGAAGAAAAACCUCACACACUGACAUUUGUGGGAGUGUUUUUGUUUUUCUUUUAGUGCUUUUUACAGAAGCACUGCAUCAACUUUUCCAACAUAUAGAUAAAUUCUAGGUCCUAGUUUGGCUGGCCUUUCCUAAUUUACCACAGAAGUAUGCAUUCCUUCUUCACUUUAGUUCAUCUGCAGGCUUGGAUUCUUCUCUCAGGAAUUUGUCACUGGAGGGAAAUGCUGCUCUAUGUCCCUCCCCUGGAAAACCUGAGAGGCGGCAGUGCAAGAGUAUGUGCUUUCUAGUUGAUUGUUUCUGUGUUUUGACUUUUAAUAUUGAGGAGGGCAACUCCUGGUUAAAAACCUAUGUGUGAUUUUUUUUCAGGUGACCAGAGGCAAUUAGAAAGGCUCCACCUGGCAGCCCUCACAGGGGAAGCUGCCCCCCACAAAGCAGAUUUAGUGCACAGCCUGCGCACUGCAGUCCCUGGAGGGAGGGGCAGUCAAGGUGCCAGGCCAGUCAUGCUCUUUGCACAUUUGCAUUCCUAGCCCCUAUGCCUUCAUUCCUGGGUCUCUUUAUCUGAAGCCUUGGCCAGAGGUCCUCUUCAGGUGCCUCUGCAGAGACCUCCUUAUCUGGAGGAGGAGGAGGAAACCUUGAAGACACUUUUCCCUCUCUGACUCAGGACCCAAUCCUUUUCCACUUCUAGUCCUUCUCUCACCUUCUCUCAACUCCAGAACCCAUAAGACUGCCAGAGCUCUUGGUUUGGGGCUCCCUCAACAGGGAGGCGACCUCUACAUCUGUGCUUAUCCAUCUGACCCUCCACCAGGGGGAAACUGGGACAGGGGAAGGCAGCAUUUUCUCUGGUUUCAGACUCUUGCUUAAACCAUCACAGUAGGUGAUUAGAGGCUUAACUGUCAUUUUUGGCUUUUUGCUUUAAUCGGCUGCUCUGACAACGGACAGCUCAGCUCUCUCUCCCAGCCCAGCUGAGCUCCUGACAAGUCUCAGGCCCAAAUCACCUUAAGCCAAAGGAUAGUUAAAAAUAAAAUCAAGUAACCAUAGUUUCAUUUCAGAAAACAUAAGUGAAGUGCCUGCCGUAUUCCGGGCACUGUAUCAGGCUCUGUGACAUAGAUAUGAACAAACCAUGGUCCCUGCCUUUGAGGAGUUCAUGGUCUGAAGGGGCCUAGACGGUCAACAGUUCAUUUCAACAGAAUGAUUCAAAACUUGACAGAGACCAUGUUUCUAUACCUCAAACACCAAAUCCAGUUCCUGGAAUAAGAGGAGAUGCUCAAUGUAUGUUUACUGAAUGAACGACCAAGAACGUUCAUGUCACCAUCUCAUCCCCAUGCAGAAAGUCUCCUUGUGCUGGACGUCGAGGCAGAGACAGAUUAUAAACCUUCAGAUUCCAAAGACUUCAAGCAAAUGAGUCAUGCUGGGAUGAUCUAAGAAGGGGCAGGAGAUGGCUGCUGGAUGGCAGGAGGAGAUAUUUGAAGAGUUUGAAGUACUGUGUCUUACAGGGAGAACACAAACCCCAUGUGGAGACCCAGAACUGUAGUGGCCCUGCCUCCAGCAUGCUCUACUCUUGUCGGAACCAGAUGUGCAGAAGCAGAAAAACAAUCUCCCCUCUUACGGAGGCCAGUGGAUUCCAUCCUCGAGGCUGUGUUGACAGUAUCUCCAAACAGGCAAUAACGAGGCAUCUUGAUCCCCACGACCCCAGCCGCACAGGGACCUGAAUGGACAGAAAGCAGGAAGUGAAGGUCACAGAAAUCGCAGAGUGGAGUUAAGGCGGGGAAACCUCUUCUCAGGGUCACAUGCUGAAUGCUUCAUUUCAUGGAGAAGUGACUGAGGACAUGAAAAGCAAGCUGUGACUUCCGCGUUUAAUGAAUGUCUUCAACAAGGGGGUAUCAUUAUUCAAUCUCUGCUUUCAGAAAGCAUUUUGCUUUAGGACAGAAAAGUACGUUUACAUUAAACAAGAACGCCUCCAGAGAUCCAGGCUGCAAAGGGGGGAAAUCCUUCUCAAUAUUUUAAAAUAAGCUCUCAGGAAGGAUAAAGAUUAUCUCAUUGCUUGCUUACAGUGGCAAGCCACACAACCCUGAGCUCUGAACUGCUGAAGGGCACGGUGUACUCAAAGCUCUCCAUGGCCCAAGUUCGUUUCAUUUUAUUUUUAUUUUAGUCAGAGUAGCAUUUCUGGGAUUGGUGGCACAAUGAUGGAAGACUCAGCAGACAAGGCCUUGGCAUAACCCUCUCUGAGUAUUUCAUGCACCAUGUGAAGGCAGUGGGAUGGGGGAACUGUGGCACAAGAACAUUCUGAGAAGAACAAAAGCCGAAGCAAGACCAUGCAUCAUAGCAUAUUAGGUCAAGAGGAAUGGUUGUUCAAUCAGGCAUUUGGAUGGAAUGAAUGAACACAAGGAGCUAAAGAUUUUAGAAGUUAAAAAUUAACUUGGAAACUGUAAAACUGGGUUUUGGAUAGAGGCAACUCUCGAUUUUCUAGUUGGCUUAUUGGGUUUUGAUCUAUAUGAGUUUCUUUACAGGUUUAGCUUACAGAUACUCAGAGUUUACGAACAUUGAGAACAACUCCAAAUACUGGAUCUUCCCCUGACUGCCGGGUCCUUCCCUGUUAGGUUUGAUGAAGACAGUACAUAACAAACAAAGAAAUGAACGUCAUCAAAAUAAAAGCAGAAAAAAACCUAUAGAAGGAAAGGAGCAAUCAGAAGAUCUCUUUCUGUGCCUCAGUUCCGGUCUGCUUCCACAAGCCAACAAGUUCUUCAUAGUUUCUCACUGAUAUCAAGAGACAGAUAGAUGAAGGAAAGCCACAGAGGAAAUUUGUUCAACUCAAGAAGCACUUGUUGAAAAGCGACAAGGGUGAAGUGCUGGAAAACGAGCCAGCUGUUGCCUCUUGUGGCUGUUUAUUUUCUGCAGUGUCAUCAUUUUCUGAGCGCCUCGUGUGGGCUUGUGAAAAAAUUUUUUUUAAAAAAAGUGAGAAACUAGGACAAAUUUCAUUCAUUACAGACCUUUUCUUGGAGGUAAAAUGGAAUUGCAGCCAAAAUUAGUGAUCUUCACCACCAUUCUACUGUCCACCACACAGCUAGUGGAUUUCAGACGCCCGUGGACUUCUAUCUUACUGGAGUGCAGAUAUGACAUCCCCUGUAAUUUUUCAGACAACAGGAAAACAAAGAGGUCUCUUACCUUAGCAAUAUCAUACAAGACAGAGAUCUUAAACUCCCAGUCCAUGAACGUACCAUCAGGGUAGGAAAUUGUGUCGUUUAAAACUUCCUGAACAGGAGAAAAAGGAAAGGAACAAGGAACAUUCGGUGGCUUUCAGCACAAGAAGAUGAGCAGGAGAUACCCAUGGUGUUCCAAAUUCCAGGUUCUUCCCCCAGACCCGGAUUCGCCCUGAGCUAACAUCUGCUACCAAUCCUCCUCUUUUUGCUGAGGAAACAUCUGUGCUUAUCUUCCUCUAUUUUAUACGUGGGACGCCUGCCUCAGCACGGCUUGAUGAGCAGUGCUAGGUCUGCGCCCAGGAUCCAAACCAGCGAACCCCAGGCCGCUGAAGCAGAAUGAUUGUGAGUUUUGGAACCGCUGAAGCAGAGCCCUGCCCAUUCCUGUGAAAGGCUCCAAGAGCAGCCCCUUGGAGCAACCUGCACACCCACCCCAACCUUUGCACUGCCAACCUUGGAAGUUGGGGCAAUGAUGAGUCAGAAAGCCCAGAACAUACCCUGAGAGUUCAGAGAAGCAGGGGAGACUAUAGUCACCUUUUUGUCGUAUUUGCACUGUUGUAGUCUCUGAAUUGUAUCUCGUCUCUUGUCAUCAUCAAUCUGGCACAAGAAAAGGCUAAUUAUUCCAGAAGCUCAUAUCUUGUCCCAUCCACUGCCAGUCCAAAGCUGAGAGGCUCUGCCAGGCGAGCUAUAUCUGCUAUUCACUCACAGGAUGCUAGGCAGGCUCCCAGAGAGACUGUUAUAACUGACUUGUGUUUCCCUCUGCCUACUGGCCUUUCCUCGCCAACAAAACUUUCUUUCCAGGUAUCAAUCACUCUCAUGCUUAACUCUGGGUUCUCCUCCCUUCCACUUACUGUGCUACUUUUCCACCUUCUUAUGGCCUACUUCAGCCAAGGAUUUUCUUUGCUUCCUUCUCCCCCUGCCCUCCUCCUAUUGGAAAUCAUUGUCUGUAGCUACAUACAGAUGGUCUUAGGGGAGCGUGUUGUGCAUUUGGGUUGCAAACUCAUGCCUAAAGGCCCAAGUAGCAAUGUGAGGGAGGACACUGGGCCAGGUGUCUAAGGGGGGCAGCCCCAUCAGCUCUAGUCCAGCCUAGAGUGGCUAGAUCAUCUGACUUGUCAAAAGUAGUUGCUAAUAUGGAUUUUUCUAAGCCAUUCUGAGAUUUUUAUAUUUGGCAAUUAAUUUUAAAAUAUAGUAAAUAUUGAACAACACACACACACACACACACACGUACACACACACCCCUGCAGGCUAGACAUGGCUCUUGGUCUGCCAGACUUUGGUCUAAAGGCAAAAAAAAGUUAAGAACUAUUGCAUCUUUCAAUUUGAUUCUCAUAAAAACCUGUGAGGUAUUAUAAUAUUUUUAAAAAUUUACCUUUACAGGCAUUUUGAAAUGCUAAUGAAAUAAACUAUAUCAAGUCCCAAAUAUGAUGUUUGGCACAGUGCAGAUUAAUAAAUGUCAGUUGUCUUCCCUUCUCCUUUUUCUCACUUUACAAAUGAUGUGCAAAAGAGUUAAAUGACACUAAAUGUCACAUAAGAAUGUAUCGGAUCUAGUUGUGGUUUUGAUUUGCAUUUCCCUAAUAAUUAGUGAUGUUGAACAUCUUUUCACAUGGCUGUUGGCCAUUUUAUAUCUUCUUUGGAAAAAUACUUGUGACAACAUGCAUGGACCUUAAGGGUAUUAUGCUAAGCAAAAUGAGUCAGAUGGAGAAAGCCAAAUAUUGUAUGAUUUCACUCAUAUGUGGAAUAUAAAAUGACAACAAAUAAACACAUAGAUACAGAGAACAGAUUGGUUACCAGAAGGGAAGGGGGAAGAAGGGAGGGUGAAAGGGGUAAAAGGGCACAUGUAUAUGGUGACGGAUGACAGCUAGACUUUUGGUGGUGAACACAAUGUAAUCUACACAGAAGUCAAAAUAUAAUGAUGUAAAACUGAAAUUUAUAUAAUGUUGUAAACCAAUGUUACCUCAAUAAAAAUUUUGAAAAUCUUUGUCAUAGUAAUAUGUAAAAAAUUUAAAAAAUAAAGAGAGAAGAAUGUAUCAGAACCUGA
ensembl:lncRNA